rnacentral:tRNA from 1 species
GGUCUCGUAGUGUGGCGGUUAACACGCCUGCCUGUCACGCAGGAUAUCGCGGGUUCGAUUCCCGUCGAGACCGCCA